rnacentral:rRNA from 1 species
UACGUAGGGUGCGAGCGUUAAUCGGAAUUACUGGGCGUAAAGUGUGCGCAGGCGGCUUCGCAAGUCGAGUGUGAAAUCCCCGAGCUUAACUUGGGAAUUGCGCUCGAAACUACGGAGCUGGAGUGUGGCAGAGGAAGGUGGAAUUCCACGUGUAGCGGUGAAAUGCGUAGAGAUGUGGAGGAACACCGAUGGCGAAGGCGGCAUCCUGGACCAACACUGACACUGAGGAGCGAAAGCCAGGGGAGCAAACGGG